UAGAACAGUUUCGAAAGAGCUAAAGAUCAGAGAACUUCCUUAUAGAGUGACGAUGUUACCAAUCUACAUAAACCUUCUGCUUUUUAUGCCAGCAGCUUUGCUCAGCAUGAUACAUUUAUACUUAUCCCUUUAAACUUUUGGCUUAGUAAUUCAAUUAUUCUCAUCUAAAACAGUGUAACAAUAACAUGAAUAAAUCAAAUAUUUAAAAAAGU
ensembl:ncRNA lncRNA:CR44546 long non-coding RNA:CR44546